ACGCUCGACACCUACGGGAGGCAGCAGUGGGGAAUAUUGCACAAUGGGGGAAACCCUGAUGCAGCGACGCCGCGUGAGCGAAGAAGUAUUUCGGUAUGUAAAGCUCUAUCAGCAGGGAAGAAACUGACGGUACCUGACUAAGAAGCACCGGCUAAAUACGUGCCAGCAGCUGCGGUAAUCUGAGGCGGGCUGGCAAGGC
rnacentral:rRNA from 1 species